rnacentral:lncRNA from 1 species
ACAAGACAGCAUGGCCCCUGGGGCUCCUCAGUGGUUCUGGACUCCCUAAGCAGCCAUGCCGCGAAGCAGCCAACACUACGGGGAAUUAUUCUACUCUAUUGGCUCCUAUUGAGAGUCUUCUAAGAGGUCAUAGAGACUCAGAAACGGAGUCUCAGAAACGGAGAAGAGAAACAUCAUGUCUUUUGAGGUCUGCUUAUCAAAAACAAGAAGGGCCAUGGUUCCAGGAGGGGAAGGAGGGCUUUUGCAGUUCGGAGCCCUCCAACAGAGAAUCUAGCAAGCACGUUGCGAAGUAAGGUGGCCAAGACUGGUGGGUGGGAGGCAUCCCAAGGGAGAAGCCCUAGAGCUCCUCAACUACUUCCCAUGCCUGCUUCCUCACCGCCCUUCCUUGACUGGGUGCUGCUGAGAUCCAGGUUCCGGACCCUCAGGCCACAGCCAAGCUCACCAAUCCUGUGGCCUGAAUUUAGUAUCAAAAAUGAAGUCAUGGGGCGUGGUGGCUCACGCCUGUAAUCACAGAACUUCGGGAGGCCGAGGCGGGCGGAUCACCUGAGGUCCGGAGUUUGAGACCAGCCUGACCAACAUGGAGAAACCCCGUGUCUACUAAAAAUACAAAAUUAUCAGGGCGUGGUGGCGCGUGCCUGUAAUCCCAGC